UGCCAGCCGCCGCGGUAAUACGAAGGGUGCUAGCGUUAUUCGGAAUUAUUGGGCGUGAAGGGCGCGCAGGCGGUCUUGUCCGUCAGGUGUGAAAGCUCGGGGCUCAACCCCGGAAGUGCACUUGAAACAGCAAGACUUGAAUACCGGAGGGGCUCAGAGAAUUCCCGGUGUAGGGGUGAAAUUCGCAGAUAUCGGGAGGAAUACCAGUGGCGAAGGCGCUGGGCUGGACGGUUAUUGACGCUGAGGUGCGAAAGCGUGGGGAGCAAACAGGAUUAGAUA
rnacentral:rRNA from 1 species